rnacentral:rRNA from 1 species
UAAUGAUAUUGUAAAAAGUUAUUACAGCAUUAAGUGGAUACUUAAGCAUUAAGAUUCAAAAUGGACGUUUUAUAACGAAAUGUUACAUGGAGUAAAUAAUUAUACUGAGAUAUGUAAUUUUCCAUAAAUUCGGAAAACCGAUCUUUAACUGAUUAAAGAAUUGUUUAAAAAUUUUUAAACAAAAAAUUUGGUGAACUGAAUCAUCUAAGUAACCAAAAUCAAAAAUCAACCGAGUGGCUGUUAGUAGUGGCGAGCGAACGCAGUAAAAGACUAAAAAUUUAAUAACUUUAUUUAAUUGAAACUAAGCCAUAGAAGGUAGCCUAUUUAUCGGACAGCCCUGUAAAAUAAAGAUUUAAAUUUUUGUAUUAGUAAAACAGACCAAGUCAUGGUUUGUUUGAAUAUUGGGGGCCCACCCUCAAAGUCUAAAAAUCUUAAUGACUGAUAGUGAAAAGUACCGUGAGGGAAAAGUGAAAAAGACUUUGCGAAAGUGAAAAGACUUUGAAACUUAAUGCUAACAAUCUGUCGUAGUUUUUAAAAUGACGACGUACCUUUUCCCAAUUGGACCAACAAGUUUAUUCUAAUGGCGAGCUUAAAUAAUAAAGUAUGUAGGCGCAAAGAAAUUAAGUUUUAAAAUGCUUUUUAGUCUUUAGAAUAAGACCCGAAACUAAGUGAUCUAAUCAUGAACUGGUUGAAGUUUAGGCGGAAACGCCUUUCGGAGGACCGAACCCGUGUAUGUGGAAAAAUACUGGGAUGAUUUGUGAUUAGGGGUGAAAGGCCAAUCAAACUUAGAGAUAGCUGGUUUUCUGCGAAAUCUAUUUAAGUAGAGCGUUUAAAGAACUUCAUUAAGGGUAGAGCUCUCGAUAAACAAUGGGGGCUUAACGCUUUACUGAGUUUAUUGAAACUUCGAAUAUUAAUUGCAAUGACUUUAAACAGACAGACUAUGAGUGCUAAGAUUCAUUGUCAAGAGGGAAACAGCCCAGACUAUUAACUAAGGCUCUUAAAAAUAAUUAAGUGAAAAAAUUGUAAAAAAAUGUGGACAACCGAAAGGUAGGCUUAGAAGCAGCCAUCCUUUAAAGAAAGCGUAACAGCUCAUUGGUUUAGUUUUUUUGCAUUGAAAAUGUAUGGAGCUAAAAUUAUUUGCCGAAGUUAUAGAUUUAUAAGACUAAAUGGUAGCAGAACGUUCUGUAAGUUUAAGAAGUUCUAUAGUGAUAUAGAAUGGAGAUAUCAGAAAUGAAAAUGUUGGUAUGAGUAACGAUAAACAAUGUGUGAAACAUUGUCGCUUUAAGUUCAAGGUUUCCAAAACAAGGCUAAUCCGUUUUGGAUUUUAAUGUUAAUCGGUCUCUAAGGAUUUGAAACGAAAGUUUUAUUCUGAUGAGGUAAAAAUUAUUUUUUAUUUUUUUAAAAGUGACAAAAUAUAAAUAUUAUCUUUAUUUGAUGGUUUAAAUAAAGGUUAUAUAGUAUUUUCUAGAAAUAGCUUUUAAUGUUUAUAACCGUACCCUAAACCGACACAGGUGAACAAGUUUAGUAAACUAAGGCGCUUGAGAGAAUUAUGUUGAAGGAACUCGGCAAAAUGACUCCGUAACUUCGGAAUAAGGAGUGACUUUUCAAGGGCAACCUUGAAAAGUUGUCACAGAAUCGGGGACAGCGACUGUUUAUUAAAAACACAGGUUUCUGCGAAUUCGUAAGAAGAUGUAUUGAAACUGACGCCUGCCCAGUGCUGCAAGAUUAAAGGAAAAGGUCUUUUGGCUUUAACCCUAACUCCCAGUAAACGGCGGCUGUAACUCUGACGGUCCUAAGGUAGCGAAAUUCCUUGGCAUUUAAUUGGUGUCCUGCAUGAAUGGCGUAACGACUGUCCCACUGUCUCCAACAUAAACUCAGUGAAAUUGAAUUCUUCGUGAAGAUGCGAAGUUCUUGCGGCUAGACGGAAAGACCCCGUGCACCUUUAGAAACGCUUUUGAAAUACCACUCUAAAAAUUUUUUAUUGCUUAUUAGUUAAGACAGUGUAUAAUGGGUAGUUUGACUGGGGCGGUCGCCUCCUAAAGAGUAACGGAGGCGUGCAAAGGUAAACUUGAACUGAACUAUAACAGUUCUAAAGCAUAAUAGUAGAUGUUUGCCUGACUGUAAGAUUGACAAAUCAAGCAGGGACGAAAGUCGGUUAUAGUGAUCCGAUGAUUCUGAGUGGAAAUGGUCAUCGCUCAACGAAUAAAAGGUACGCCGGGGAUAACAGGCUAAUCACUCUCUAGAGACCCUAUCGACGGAGUGGUUUGGCACCUCGAUGUUGGAUUAUCGCAUCCUGGAGCUGUAGGUGGUUCCAAGGGUUUGGCUGUUCGCCAAUGAAGGCGGUACAUGAUCUGAGUUUAGAACGUUGUGAAACAGUUUGGUCCCUAUCUACCGCAAGUGUAAAAAAUUGAGAGGAGUAAACCUUAGUACGAGAGGACCGGGAAAAGUAAAUCCAUGGUGAAUCGAUUGUUGUACCAACAGCAUAGUCGAGUAGCUACAUUUAUAAUAAAUAAUCACUGAAAGCAUCUAAGUGAGAAAUUAACCUCAAUACAAAUUUUUUUUAAAAUGUAAUAGAUGAUUACAUAGAUAGGCUUGGUGUGUAAGGAUUGUAAGAUUUUUAGCUAACAAGUACUAAAUUAAUUUUAACAAACUUUUUA